CAGGAAAAACCCAAACUUACCCAGUCUCUUCUGCAGCAUCACUCCUUACAAACUGCCAAUCCACACAACGGCGCCUCUAUCCCUCCAUCCCAACCUCCCUCUCACAUUCAUAUUUCCUCUCCUUCCCCCUCUUCUUCCUCUGUGUUUGCAUAGACUUGAACUCCUCUUCCCGUGUUUGUCCCCCAGCCAGCCAUGAAUCACAUGGAGUUCAGAGACCCAGAGGCUGCCAGGGCCAACUGCUGGUCAUAACAAGUGGCUGACAGCUCUAUUUAGAUACGACUCACAGGCAGCCUGGAGAACCAGCCCAGACGGAGUGACACAUACACACAUAAACAGUGCGAAAGGCAGAUAUGUCAUAAUAGACGCCAUGCUCCAAAUGAAUACAGGAGAGACGCAGUCAAUGGGAUUUUUUUUUUCUUGGCCUUAGGGUGAAGAUCCAAGCAUUUGUUUUUCUGGAGAUUUUCCACAUGAGUGGGGAGGGAGAUGGGACCCUAGGGAUGGAGGGCCUUUGGACCUCCCCCCUUCGUCAUACAUCUCUCAUCAGCAGAAGGAGCUUACUCCAGAGGAGACCAUUGAAGUCUUCCACUCUGCUCCAGAAACACAAUGGAAAGGGUGACAGAGGCGUCAGGUUACACUGCGAGGGAAAUCGUUGGGAGAGUUUGAAAGUAUGCUGCAAACACAGUGAAGAUAAAUAUUGCAGGGCGUCCUGCAGACUGCUGCACUGAGAAGGCAAGUGGGAUCAAUUGAGCUCUUGGCUUGGAACUCCACAUAGACUCUUUGUUCUUUAACACAGACAUGCAUGCAGACUGUUGUUAUAGCGGACCUGGUUAGGUCCAUAUUUCAGACAAAUCGUGCAUUUCGUGGUACAAGCACAAAAUUUGGCAUUGAUACCUUAAGGAUCCCCUUGUUCAGAAACGCAUAUCAGCCAUGAGAAAACCCAAAA